GACGAACGCUGGCGGCGUGCUUAACACAUGCAAGUCGAACGGAAAGGCCUCUUUCGGGGGGUACUCGAGUGGCGAACGGGUGAGUAACACGUGAGUAACCUGCCCUUGACUUUGGGAUAACUUCAGGAAACUGGGGCUAAUACCGGAUAGGAGCUCCUGCUGCAUGGUGGGGGUUGGAAAGUUUCGGCGGUUGGGGAUGGACUCGCGGCUUAUCAGCUUGUUGGUGGGGUAGUGGCUUACCAAGGCUUUGACGGGUAGCCGGCCUGAGAGGGUGACCGGCCACAUUGGGACUGAGAUACGGCCCAGACUCCUACGGGAGGCAGCAGUGGGGAAUAUUGCACAAUGGGUGGAAGCCUGAUGCAGCAACGCCGUGUGCGGGAUGACGGCCUUUGGGUUGUAAACCGCUUUCGCUCAUGACGAAGCUUUGUGUGACGGUAGUGGGUAAAGAAGCACCGGCUAACUACGUG
rnacentral:rRNA from 1 species